AUUGAACGCUGGCGGCAUGCUUUACACAUGCAAGUCGAACGGUAACAGGCCGCAAGGUGCUGACGAGUGGCGAACGGGUGAGGAAUACAUCGGAAUCUGCCCAGUCGUGGGGGAUAACAUAGGGAAACUUAUGCUAAUACCGCAUACGACCUACGGGUGAAAGCGGGGGAUCGCAAGACCUCGCGCGAUUGGAUGAGUCGAUGUCCGAUUAGCUAGUUGGCGGGGUAAUGGCCCACCAAGGCGACGAUCGGUAGAUGGUCUGAGAGGAUGAUCAGCCACACUGGAACUGAGACACGGUCCAGACUCCUACGGGAGGCAGCAGUGGGGAAUAUUGGACAAUGGGCGCAAGCCUGAUCCAGCCAUGCCGCGUGGGUGAAGAAGGCCUUCGGGUUGUAAAGCCCUUUUGUCCGGAAAGAAAAGCCCUGGGUUAACACCCUGGGGUGAUGACGGUACCGGAAGAAUAAGCACCGGCUAACUUCGUGCCAGCAGCCGCAGUAACAC
rnacentral:rRNA from 1 species